rnacentral:rRNA from 1 species
GCGCACGCUGGCGGCAUGCCUCACACCUGCAAGUCGCACGAGACCUUCGGGUCUAGUGGCGCACGGGUGCGUAACGCGUGGGAACCUGCCCUUAGGUUCGGAAUAACUCCCCGAAAGGGGUGCUAAUACCGGAUAAUGUCUUCGGACCAAAGAUUUAUCGCCUUUGGAUGGGCCCGCGUUGGAUUAGCUAGUUGGUAGGGUAAAAGCCUACCAAGGCGACGAUCCAUAGCUGGUCUGAGAGGAUGAUCAGCCACACUGGGACUGAGACACGGCCCAGACUCCUACGGGAGGCAGCAGUGGGGAAUAUUGGACAAUGGGCGAAAGCCUGAUCCAGCAAUGCCGCGUGAGUGAUGAAGGCCUUAGGGUUGUAAAGCUCUUUUACCCGGGAUGAUAAUGACAGUACCGGGAGAAUAAGCUCCGGCUAACUCCGUG